rnacentral:rRNA from 1 species
GUAAACGGCGGCCGUAACUAUAACGGUCCUAAGGUAGCGAAAUUCCUUGUCGGGUAAGUUCCGACCCGCACGAAAGGUGUAACGAUUUGGGCACUGUCUCAACGAGGGACCCGGUGAAAUUGAAAUACCUGUGAAGAUGCAGGUUACCCGCGACUGGACAGAAAGACCCCAUGGAGCUUUACUGUAACCUGACAUUGGGUUUUGAUACAUUACGUACAGGAUAGGUGGGAGGCAUGGAAAGCUGGACGCUAGUCUGGCUGGAGCCGCCGUUGGGAUACCACCCUUGAUGUAUUGAAAUUCUAACCGCGAGAGUAACGAAAUCCGGGACAGUGUCAGGCGGGCAGUUUGACUGGGGCGGUCGCCUCCGAAAGAGUAACGGAGGCGCCCAAAGGUUCCCUCAGCGCGGCCGGAAAUCGCGCGAAGAGUGUAAAGGCAGAAGGGAGCUUGACUGCGAGUCAAACACGACGAGCAGGUACGAAAGUAGGGCUUAGUGAUCCGGUGGUACCGAGUGGAAGGGCCAUCGCUCAACGGAUAAAAGCUACCCUGGGGAUAACAGGCUAAUCUCUCCCAAGAGUCCAUAUCGACGGGGAGGUUUGGCACCUCGAUGUCGGCUCAUCACAUCCUGGGGCUGAAGUCGGUCCCAAGGGUUGGGCUGUUCGCCCAUUAAAGUGGUACGUGAGCUGGGUUCAGAACGUCGUGAGACAGUUCGGUCCCUAUCCAUCGCGGGCGCAAGAGAUUUGAAGGGGGCUGCUCCUAGUACGAGAGGACCGGAGUGGACGAACCGCUGGUGUACCAAUUAUCCCGCCAGGGGUACAGUUGGGUAGCUACGUUCGGAAAGGAUAAACGCUGAAAGCAUCUAAGCGUGAAACCAGCCUUAAGAUGAGAUCUCUCAUAGAGCAAUCUAGUAAGACACCUUAAAGAAGAUGAGGUUGAUAGGUCGGGAGUGUAAGUACAGCAAUGUAUUGAGCGGACCGAUACUAAUAUGUCGAGGGCUUGACUUA